UACGUAGGGGGCAAGCGUUACCUGGAUUCACUGGGCGUAAAGCGCACGUAGGUGGCUGGGUAAGUUGGAUGUGAAAUCCCCGGGCUUAACUUGGGAAUUGCAUUCAAGACUGCCUUGCUAGAGUGUGGAAGAGGGAAGCGGAAUUCCAGGUGUAGCGGUGAAAUGCGUAGAUAUCUGGAGGAACAUCAGUGGCGAAGGCGGCUUCCUGGUCCAACACUGACACUGAGGUGCGAAAGCGUGGGGAGCAAACAGG
rnacentral:rRNA from 1 species